AGUUUCAACAAGAGGAGGCGUUCACUUGCUCGAGAUGAAGAAGAAUGCAAGUUUUUGGGAUUUUCCUGCAUUCUCACCACUGAGACCACUGCAUAUCCACCAAGAAGAGCCGUGGAUGGAAUCAAGACCUUCAUUUUCACCAUGUCUGCACAUCAAGCCGGACUCUAUGGGAACAGAUGGAGAAAAUGGAGCGGUCGAGACCGUGUCAAAUCUGGGAAGCUCUCCGACUGUCAUUCCCAAACCCUCAACCAGC